GGGGUCUGGGCUGAGAAAAGAGGAAGACAAAGGGGACGUCUUGUGAAGGAAGAGUUGGGAGAGGGCUCAGAACCAAGAGUCCUCUCUUCCUGAUAAUCAUGCGGCCCUUGCUCUGCUGCCCCCAGACCUCCCUGGGCCCGGCUCUUGGCAAGGCUAGCAGGGGUGGCAGAGACUGAGUCUGGAAGUGGGUAGGAACAGCUGUUCUCUUCUGUUCUUGUUACUCCAUGGGAGGCAAGGCAAGGCUGUGUCCCUUCCCCAACAAUGAGAGACUGAGGAGACUUGGCAGGGGACUCGUGGGCUCUGUGUGGGAGGGGCUGGUGGCCUGGAAGCUGGGUGAUGGGCUCCCAUUCACUGAGCUCCCAGCUCUAACUCUGACCCUUACUCACUCCCCCCCUUACCACCUUCCAAACCGUCUCCCCCAGAUUCUGAGUUGCCCCUACCCUAAUUCCUCCCAGGCCCUAAGUGCACCACGAUGCAGAAUGCCAUCGUCACCCCUCCCCCGCUCUUGGGACCCCCUCUGAAGUCCCCUUUCCCCCAAGCUGGCCAGGCCAAGGACCUAGGCCAGGUUGGGCAGGAUACUCACAGUUGGCCUGGGCCUGAGAUGGGAGCGGGUUCUGCACAAAUGGCCGAGGCUGCAAGUGUGGCUCCCGGGCUGUGUGAGAGACCUGUCUUUAGCAGUCCUUCCCCCGCUGCCCCCCCAGCGGCUCCACCCCUUCACAGACACCCAGUGGGGCAAGGGGCCAGGAGAGGACAGAGGCGCCCUCUGUCUCCUGGGCUGGAACAGGCUACCCUGUGUCUCCUCCCUGGCCUUGGUUGCCUGCCCUCCCACCCCCUGCUGGGUACCAGCGGGGAAGUGCAGGGAGAAGGGAGGGGGAGGUGGGUCCUGGGGGGACACAGAGUCUCACCCCCAGCUCCACUGCACAGCCCCUGGAGCUGGCUGUGACACUGACAGGGAAGGGGAGGGUUUGCAGAGGGAGUCUUAGCCUGGGGCUGGCCAAGGGGUCUCGCUCAGUGAGUGACUUAGUCUUGGGACCGCUGAGAUCUCUCAGUCUGGGAUUCUGCUAUGCCGUUGUGGCCUGGGUCCCCCAUCGUGGUGCCGGAGCUUGCAGUUCUUGGAAGGAGUGUGGGCUGCAGUGACCCUUGCAGGGUCUCUGGGGUUUUGUAGAUUGGCCUCUCAGUGCUGAGCUCCAGUUGGAUUUUCAAUUAGUGGUUGUCAUCCCUGCCCCCCUCCCGGUUAGCUGUUGGGGGUGUGGUAGGGCAGCAGCUCCCCAUAAAGGAAGUGAUGGACUCUGGGACCCCUGCUUAAUGGGAUCUGUCCAGGACGCCCCCCCACCCCCAAGCUGGGGAACCUGCGGGAGUGGUCGGGCGGCCAGGCUUCCCAGCCCCAAGGCCAGCGCGGGAGGCGUGACUGGGCGGUCCCCCCUCUGGAGAGUCAGCUAGGAAACUGGACACCUCGGGCUGGGCGUGGCGCCCUCCUCCCCGCAGGCCUUAUAAACCUCGGCCUCGCGUCUCCGCGGCAGCACCCCAUCUCCUACCCUGGUGAGUCGCACCCCGUCCCCACCCAGGGGCUGUCUGGGGAUCCGUUUUUCUCCAUUGGCUCCCGGUCCCCCCACCCCCAGCCGCUGGGACAGGGAUUCAGGAAGUGGCUUGGGGAGAGCAAGCAGCAGUCCCCGCAGGAGCCUGUGCGUGUGCGUGUGUGGGGGUGGACGGAAAGGAGAGGGAUGCGUGGGCUUGUCCCUUUCCUCCAGCUUUCUGUCGUGCCCCCAGGGGACUUGAGUGCCCGGACGGUGCCCCUGUGGGCUCGGAGAAUCAGAGGACCUCCGCGCCAGGACCCUGUCAUCUGGAGACAGGGUUGGAAGGGCAUGAGGGGUUCUUGUCCCAGCACUCGGUCCAGCUGCCCCCAAGGAGAGGGAGGGGAGGGGAUCUGUCCAGACUGAGCCAGCCCUGACCACAGCUGGGCUUGUGCCAACCCUAAGCUUCUCUGCUGGAAGGAGUGACCAGCGUGUGGGCGGACUGCAGGUCCCACUGUAAACAAACUGGAGACAAACAACCUCCUGACCCUUUAACACUGGGAGAGACAAGAUAGGGCCAUAAGAGAAACCCCAUCAGAGGGCCACCAGACUCCGAGGACUUUGAAGAAGGAACUGCAAACUGAAAAAUCUCUCCCCGAUAGAGGGAUCACCAUACUUGAUGGAUCACCAGAGGGUCUCUCUUAUCUCUCUCUUUUUUUUUUUUGUACUUGGGAUGAAACCCAGGGGGCUUCACCACUGAGCCGUACCCCCAGACCUUUUUAAUUUCGAGCCAGUGUCUCGCUAGGUUGCUGACAGCCUCGAUAAAUUGCUGAGGCAGGCUUGCCAUCAUCCUCCUGCCUCAGGCUCCCCAGCUGCUGGGAUUACUGGCACCUGAACCCACAUAGAUGGCUUCUUAAAAAGGACCUUCAGAAACCAGGUGUGGUAGCCCACAACUGCAAACCCAGCUUCAGGGGGGCCUAACAAGAAGACAAGUUAGAGGCCAGCCUGGACAAUUUACUGAGACCCUGCCCUGCCUCAAAAUAAAAAAAAAAAAAAAUAAUAAUAAUAAUAACAUAGGGCUGGGGAAUGUAGCUCAGUAAUAGAGCACCACUGGGUUCCCUCCCCCGUGCCCCACCCCAAAAUAAAGGACCCUCAGAUCGUGACCCUCAGAAGAAAGUUUUCUGGGACUAAACUUAAAUUGAGAUACUGUUGCCUGGUCCCCUACCCCAAGCUCAACCUCUGAACCCUCCCUCUUUCUUAUAAUGACACUCCCGGGGGCACCAGAGCAGGGACACUGGCCAUCCUUGGAUCCCAGACUGCCUAACUCCUCCCCCUCUGCUCCCCCACGUCCUGCAGGUCAGCUGUGUGAGCACGUCAGCUCCAACCCCAGGGGCCUCAUGGCGGCCGAGCCACUGACUGAGCUGGAGGCGGCCAUCGAGACAGUGGUCACCACUUUCUUCACCUUUGCAGGGCGGGAAGGCCGGAAGGGCAGCCUCAGCGUCAAUGAGUUUAAGGAACUAGCCACGCAGCAGUUGCCUCACCUGCUCAAGGUGGGUGGAGGUCUCUGGGCUGGGAUUCUGUGAGGCAGCGUUGGUGGGACCCUGAGUGUGUGAGGGGAGACUGCUGAGUAGACAGUGAGCCACAGGAGGGGUGGGAGGCCAGGCAGGGGGGUGCACACCAGGUCUCAGUGAGGGGGCGGAUUCCAACUGGAGGCCAACCCAGGCAACUCAGUGAGACUUUGUCUCAAAAAAUAACAAGAGUUGAGGGUGUAGGUCAGUGGUCACGGGAUCAAUCCCCAGGACCUCAAAAACAAACAAACAAACAAACAAAAUAAAAUAAAAGGAUGUAAGUGACUGCAUGUGUACAUGGUUCUGGGUUUUCUGUCCUCUGUGUGUGUGUGUGUGAGAGAGAGAGAGAGAGAGAGAGAGAGCGAGAGAGACAGACAGACUAGGUAAGCAAAGAUACUGUGUUUGUGCAACUGGGUUCUGUACUCUCAUUAAAAGAUGCUGUUGGGUUCUUGUGUCUGUGUGGGCCUCUCUGGUCUCAUUUCCCCAGUAUAGGACUGGCCCCAGAGAUGGCUUCCAGGACAUUCACAGACCCUCAGAGCUUGAAGGAGGCCAAGAGAAAACAUAAAAACAUGGUUCAGACUCUUCACUUCACAUAUAUGGAAACUGAGGCCCAGCAGUGGGAAUGGUAUUAUUAAAAGCAAAAACAAAAUUGGGCAUGGUGGCACAUGCCUGUCAUCUCAGCAACUUGGGAGGCUGAAUCAGGAGGAUCUCAAGUUUGAGGGCAGCCUCAGCAACUUAGUGAGAUCCUGUCUCAAAAUAAAAUUUAAAAAAUGGCUGGGGGUGUAGCUCCAUGGUAGAGUACCCUGGAUUUAACCCCCAGUAAUUAACUUUCUCUCUCUCUCUCUCUCUCUCUCUCUCUCUCUCUCUCUCUGUCUCACACACACACACACACACACACACACAUGCACAUAAGAAAAUAAAGAAAACAGCCAAAUCCAUGGAGUCCUAGACUCUCAGUGUAGGAGGUCCAUAAGGAACAUUUGUGACUAUUUCCCACCAUCUCUGGGAUCCCCUCAAUAGAGCGCCUGACAGGGCCAUUCUUCUCGUCUACUGGAAAGAAUGAGUUGGGAUUUAAAUUUCAUCCACUCUGGGUUUGCCCGUCAUUCCAGGCUAACAGUUUCUUUUUCCUCCUUUCUGAAAAUUCACAGGUACUUAGCAGUGUAUGAGUAUGGAUUUUUAAAAAACAAAGCCAUCCUCUGAAACUUAAGUCUCUCAUCUGCAAAAUCCCCUGUAUCCUCUCACUUCUCAGACUUUUCCUUUCGCCUUUUUAUUGGAAAUGUCAGAUUCUCUGAUGAAGGUGUAGCAUUCCCAGAGUCUGGUUGAGCAGUAACUGAUUUUCCCUCUGACGUCCUCUGGGCCUGGGAAAGCAGGAAGUGGCCUCUUUGCUUUUCAUCUGUUUUUCUGGACCUUAGUUCCUUCUUCUGUAGACCCCCAGCUCCUUGGAAGCUGAGCUGCCUCCCUCUUCCUUCUUUGUUUCUUCUCAUGGUAAUGAGGAUUGAGCCCAGGGGCCCUUUUCUUUGGGAGGGGGUGCCAGGGAUUGAACUCAGGGGCACUCAGUUACUGGGCCACGUCUCCAGCCCUGUUCUGCAUUUUAUUUAGAGACAGGGUCUCACUGAGUUGCUUAGCGCCUCGCCAUUGCUGAAGAUGGUUUUGAACUCACGAUCCUCCUGUCUCAGCCUCCUGAGCUGCUGGGAUUAUAGGCGUGUGCCACCGCACCCGGCUCCAGUGACCCUUUUUAUUUUUUACUUUUUUUUUAAAUAUUUAUUUUUUAGUUUUUGGCGGACAUAACAUCUUUGUUUGUAUGUGGUGUUGAGGAUUGAACCCGGGCCGCACGCAUGCCAGGCGAACGCGCUACCGCUUGAGCCACAUCCCCAGCCCUUUAUUUUUUACUUUGAGACAGGAUGUUACUAAAUUGCCCAGGCUGGCCUUGAACUUGUGAUCCUCCUGCCUCAGCCUUCUGAAUAGCUGGGAUUACAGAUCUGCACACCGUGCCUGCCUUCUGCCCUCCUUACUGUACUACUUAUAUCUUUUCAGCUUCGGCUCACUGUUAUUCUUCUCAGCACUGCAUCUGUUGUUGUUGUGAUGAUGAUGAUGAUGAUGAUGAUGAUGAUGAUGAUUGGUACCUGGGACUGAACCCAGGGACACUUAACCACGGAGCCACAUUCCCAGCUUUUUUUUUUUUUUUUUUAAUAUUUUAUUUAGAGACAGAGUCUCUCACUGAGUUGCUUAGGGCCUUGCUAAGUGGUGGAGGCUGGCUUUGAGCCCUUGAUCCUCCUGUCUCAGCCUCCUGAGCUUACAAGCUUGUGCCACCAUGACCGGCAGGACCUUCAGUCUCUUGACCUUCCACUUUUUCAUUUUCUAUCAUCUCUCAUCUCUUCAUUUCUCGUCUUCCUUAGCUCAUGUUCAAGACGUUAUUAGGAUCAUACCCUCAAUCCAUUUGAUUCUCUCUCUGUCCCAGUUGUCUGGCAGAAUCCCAACCCUGAUGAAAUCCAACAUUUCCCCUACAUUAACUUGCUGGUUAAAUCACCAUCCCUGCCUACACUUGGAUAGCUGAAUCUGGCUGGAGGAAAAUGCACGGCCUCGUUGACUUGUCUUACUUUAAAUCAGUAACCACAGACUCUGAGGGACCCUUAGCAAUGCUGGCGACUCUGCUGUGUUUCCCUGAAUGAUUGUGUAUCAGCUCUUUCAGAUGAUGGUUUCAUAACUUUCCCUCCCUUCUCAAACUCCAGUGCCUCUUUCCACAUUCUCCCUCUCACUGAGAAAUUCCCUCACUAAGAAAAUAAGUCAUCAGGAAACUUCUAUGUGCUACCCUCAUCCCCAAAUCUACUGCUCGAUCAGCACACAGUCUGCUUCCUUCCUGGUCACAUAAAUGAUCAGUUUUAGCUCUUAACUGGUGCUCUGGAUCCUAUCCCCUCUCACCUACUUUAAAGACUUUCCUUUUGCAAUUCUUGCAGUGAUCUCUUCUCUUUCUUGCAUCAUUAAAAUUUCCUUCUCUACUAGGUCUUUUGUAUCAGGGGUUUUGUUGCUUGUUUAAUUUUUUUUUUUUUUUUGUACUAGGGAUUGAACCCAGGGGCACUCAACCACUGGGUCACAUCCCCCAGCCCCUUUUAAUUUUUUUAUUUUGAGACAAAGUCUGGCUAAAUUGCUUAGGGCCUCAAUAAAUUGCUGAGGCUGACUUUGAACUUGCAGUCCUCCUGCCUCAGCCUCCUGAGUGCUGGGAUUACAGGCCUGCACCACCACACCUGGCUUCCCAGCCCCUCUUUAAAAAAAACAAUUUUUUUUUUGUUUUUGGUUGUAGUUGGACAUAAUACCUUUAUUUUAUGUAUUUAUUUUUAUGUGGUACUGAGGAUCAAACCCAGUGCCUCACACGUGCUAGGCAAGCCCUCUACCACUGAGCCUCAGCCCCAGCCCUCCCCAGCCCUUUUUAUUUUUUAAAUAUUUAUUUUUUAGUUGUAGUUGGAUACCAUAUCUUUAAUUAAUUUAUUUAUUUCUAUGUGGUGCUGAGGAUCGAACCUAGGGCCUCGCCCACGGUAGGCGAGUGCUCCACCGCUGAGCCACAACCCCAGUCCCCCCGUCAUCCCUUUUUAACAUUUGUUUUGCAGUAGAGUCUCACUAAGUUGCCCAGGCUGGCCUCCAACUUGUGAUGCCCUGUGUUAGCCUCCCGAGUACCUGGGAUUACAGAUAUGUACCGCCACAGUCUCUUUACAGAUAUGCUGUAAUGUCUUCCAUCUUGGGAAAAGAAAGAAAAUUAUAAUAAUAAAGAACACCUCCCUUGACCUUGUAGCUGCUUUUAGUUAUGCUAUAUAUUUCUUCUGUACUCUAUCACAGAACUCCUCAAAAGCAAUGAGAAUGACUCAUACUUACCGUCUCCACUUUUCCUCUCCUGUUCACAGUGCUCGUCUCCCAGGUACUUGCUAGGCUUAUUCCUCAUUUAAUUCAGGUUCCUGCUUAGCUGGCAAAUCCUCAGCACAGUCUCCCUUCACCACUGAACACAAAACUCACCUCCUUUACCCUGCAGAACACAACCAAUCUGACCUCCACUAUACACUUACAUGUUUUUAAGUGUGAAAGGCUCAAGAAGGAAAGGUAUUUGCUUACCAUUUAAUCUCAGCAGUUAAACAGUAUCUGACUUCUCUAUUGGGUGCUCAAUAAAAUAUUAAGUGACGGGGCUGGGGCUGUAGCUCAAUGGUAGAGCAGUUGCCUGGCACAUGUGAGGCACUGGGUUUGAUCCUCAGCAUAACAUAAGAAUAAGUAAAUAAAAUAAAGGUAUAAAAAUAUUAACUGACAGUCUUAGUGAGUUUUAGCUACUCUAACAGAGUACUAUAAUCUGAGUGGUUGACAAACAACAAAAUUCAUUUCUCCUAGUUGUGGAGGCUGAAAGCCCAAAUCAGGGCGCCAGAGUAGUUGGGUUCAGGCGAGGGCUUCUUAAGGGUUGACAUCUUCCAGUUUUGCCCUUACCUGGGCAAAAAGCUAAAGAGCUCUCUGGGGUCUUGUUGUUGUUUUUAUUUUUUGGUACUGGGGAUUUAGCACAGGGGCACAUAACCACUGAGCUACAUCCCCAGUCCUUUUCAUUUUUGAGACAGGGUCUUGCUCAAUUGCUGAGGCUGACCUGUAACUAGCGAUCCUCCUGCCUUAGGCUCUGGAGUCACUGGGAUUAGGGGCCUGUACCACCGUGCCCACUCUGGGGUCUCUUUAAGCAAGGGCACUAAUCUAAAUCAUGAGGGAUCCACCUUCAUGACCCAAGGCUACACCUAAUACCGUCACAUUGGGGUUUGGGAUUUUGUUAUGGAUUGGAUCGGAAAUGCCCCCCCAAAGUCUCAUGUGGGGGCUUUUGGGAAGUGACUGGAUCAUGAAGGCUCUGACCCGUCAUUCAGUUAACCUAUUGAAGACAGGAUGGACUCCUGGGAGGUGGGACCUGGUUGGAGGAAGUAGGUCCCUGGGGCGGGCCCGGGAGGGUGCAUCUCUCUCUUGCCUCCCACCCCACUUUCUGGCUGCCGUGAGCUGACAGCUUUAAUACCUCUGGGCCUUGCGCCACGACGUUGCACUUGACCUGUGGCCUGAAGCAGUGGCACCAGCUGACUAUGGACUGAAAGCUCUGAAACCAGGAGCCCAAAUAACUGGUCCCCACCCCAAGUCGUUUGAGUCAGGUAAACACACAAUGAAAAGCUGACUGACAGAGAGAUCUCAACAUGGGUUUUGCAAGGACACAAAAUUCAGUCCAUGAGGGACUGGGAUGUAGCUCAGUGGCAAAGUACUUCUCUCGUAUGUGCAAAGGCCUGGGUUUGAUCUCCAGUUCUAAAAAAUAAAAAAAAUAAGAAACAAACAAAAACCCAACCAAAAAAGGACUAGGGGGCUGCGGGUAUAGCUCAGCAGUAGAGUGCUUGCCUAGUAUGCAUGAGGUCCUGGGUUCAAUCCCCAGCACCCUCCCCAAAAGCAGGGGCUGGGGAUGCUCACUGAUAAAGAACGACUGGGCUCCCUUCCCAGUACAAAAAACAAAACAAAACAAAACAAAACAAAAAAAAAAAACACUAAAAUUCAGUCCACAAGAAUGGGUGAAUAUAAUUGAAAAAAAAAUUAAAAAUGAAAAAAAUUUCCAGUGAGUGAAUGAAUACAUUUUUUUUUUUUGGUACUAGGGGUUGAACUCAGAGCCACUCAGCCACUGAGCCCUGUCCCUGGCCCUACUUUGUAUUUUAUUUAGAGACAGGGUCUCACUGAGUUGCUUAGCGCCUCACUGUUGCUGAGGCUGGCUUUGAACUUGCGAUCCUCCUAUCUCAGCCUCCUGAGCUGCUGGGAUUACAGGUGUGCGCCACUGCAUCCUACUUGAAUAAAUUCAUCUUUUAUAUAUUGUUCUACAAAUAGCUUUUUAAAAAAAAUGUAACAGUACAUAUAGGAUAUUUUCCCAUUAAAGAAAUGAUAGACUGGGUGUGGUGGCACACGCCUGUAAUCCCAGUGGCUCAGGAUGCUGAGACAGAAGGAUGGUAAGUUCACAGCCAGCCUCAGCAAAGCAACUCAGUGAGACCCUGUCUCUAAAUAAAAUACAAAAUUGGGCUAGGGAUGUGGCUCAGUGGUUGAGUUCAAUCCCUGGUACCAAAAACAGUUAAAAAAGUGUUGUGGAUCAGUCGUUAAGUGCCCCUGGUUCCAAAAAUAAAAUAAAAUAAAAAUAAAGAUUAAAAAAAUAAAAAGGGCUGAGACACAGCUCAGUGGUAGAGCACCUGUGGCUUCAAUUCCCAGUACCACAAAAAUGGGAGGGGGAGGACUUGAGUAGCUCUCCUAUAAAUUUGCUUAAGAGAUUUGGCAGAUCUUCUCUGCCUUCGUUCAAAUGUUGAUUUAAAUGUUAAGAAUCAAGGUCAACAGAGGCACCUUCUUUGGUUUAAUGUUGACCCUUUACUCAACAAUCAAGUUUUCUUUCUUUCUUUUUCUUUUUUUUUUUUUUGUGGUGCUGAGAUUGAACCCAGGGCCUUGUGCAUUUGAGGCAGGCCCUCUACCACUGAGCUAUGUCCCCAGCCCUACAAUCAAGUUUUCCAUUGUGAUUGUCUGGUAACAAAUCCUUUUAUCACGAAAGUCUGGCUUACAGUAUCCCUGGGUUCCACAGGCCCGUCCUGAGAGACUUUAUCAAGGGCCCCUCGAAAACAAGGUGCCUGUGUCUUCGCCAUUCCCCGAUCUACCGGGUACUGGCCCAGCUGGAUACAGGAGAACACAGAAGGGAGAUGCAAAUGAGCAGCUACUACUGUGAGGGAGGAGGGUGGCUGAGAAGGCCUCCGGGGAGUCAGGUUGGAUCUGCCCGUACAAAGGCUCCCUGAGUAUUAUUGGGUCCAUCCGGACUGGUGCAGUGGUGUGCUAGCGCCAGCUCUGCCUGCCGGUGAGAGCAGAUUGUGUGCGUCUCUCUCCAGCUCUGUGUUCAGUGACAUCGUAUUUGUAGUGUAUGCUGUGCCGUGAUGGGAGUAUUUAUGUCAGAGCAAACACUCAGAGCAGGCCCUUCCACCUCUGCUGGUGUCCUUGAAGUUGGGACCCCAGGGCAGCCCAGUCCAGGCCUGCAGCCUUUUCCUUGAGGUACGGGGCGGGGUUGGUGCUCUCUGAGGGGAGGGCUGUCAGAGGACGGUAAGCUAGAAAGUCUCCCCUCUUCCUGUCUCAAGAUCCCCCCCAUCUAACCUGCCCUUCCCUUUUAGGAUGUGGGCUCCCUAGAUGAGAAGAUGAAGAGCUUGGAUGUGAAUCAGGACUCGGAGCUCAAGUUCAAUGAGUACUGGAGACUGAUUGGGGAGUUGGCCAAGGAAAUCAGGAAGGAGAAGGCGCAGGAGAUCCGGAAGAAGUAGAGCUGCUGGCCGGGAUGGCGGUGGGGAGAGUAGGCCUGGCAGGGCCAGGAGAACCCCUCACUCCCCAAAUAAACCUUCUCCCUCGAAACACACAGGUUUCUUUCUUUUUUCAAAAUAUUUUCUAGUUGUUGAUGGAC
rnacentral:lncRNA from 1 species